ensembl:lncRNA
UUAUUUAUUUAAACUGUGCGAGACGUUUGGACUGUUUAUUGAUUUACUUUGUAAAACCGUCAUGGGUAGUUACAAAGGAGCUAAAUAAACUGAUCCAAUAGAGAAAUACACAGGUAUGCAGAUACACAGACAGACAGACAGAUCAAUAGGUGUAUAGACAGGCAGACAGGAAUAGAUCAAACAAUAGGUAAGAAAGAGAGACAAAAAUGUAGACAGACAGGUAGAUAGAGAGACAGACAGACAAGAAGAUAGAUCAAUAGGUAGGUAGACAGACAGAUAGAUAGGUAGACAGACAGAUAGGUAGGUAGACAGACAGAUAGGUAGGUAGACAGACAGAUAGGUAGGUAGACAGACAGAUAGGUAGGUAGACAGACAGACGAGUAGAUAGAUCAAUAGGUAGAUAGACAGACAGAUAGGUAGGUAGACAGACAGAUAGGUAGGUAGGUAGACAGACAGAUAGGUAGGUAGACAGACAGAUAG